UCCCUGGGCCGCGCUCCGGGCGUGCGAUAGCGGGGCGGUGCCCAGCGCUCGCCGCGCCGGCCGGGCCCCGCCGAUAAGGGCGGUUGGCUGGGGCCCCCCGCAGGGUCCAGCCCCAGCUGUCCCAGCGCUGUGACCUAGGGAAGGGACGCGACACAACCCCCGGUUGUCCCCUGGGCGGUGCCGGAGCCCUGAGGGACGCAGAAACCUGCCCAGAGGUCGCCACGCCGAGGUGUUGCCCGCAGGUUGUUGUGUGACUCUGUUCAGUAAAAGCACGUUCCUUACAUCAGUCAUUCAUGGUCUCCUCAUGGACCACUCCAAUUUUAGCUGAUCAUUGAAUAACCCUACCUCUGCUCAUUCACUGCCUGCAAGGAAAUAGAGGGACAAGUGCAGAUCUUGCAGAGUGGUCACAGGAAAGUGCUGUCAACGCACAGCCACUGAUUUCACAAUUUAUUUUGUAAAUGUGAUGAAAGUCGGACGUAGCCAAUAUCUGCAUGCUGCAACAGAAUCCUGAUCAGUCUGAAACAGAGAACAGAUUAGGCAAGAAGUACACUUCAAUGAGUGUAAAAUAUAAGACUAAUAAUUUAUUUUACCUAUUCUUUUCUUUUAUAAACUCCUAGCAAUGCAAGAAAAAUAUUGAUUUCCAUUGUCUCACAAAUAGAAAAAGAAAUGGCACACCCUUAGAAAGAUAAACAUUGGACAUGUAUUGUAAAAGGAUUUGUAAUAAGAAAUUGAAGUUUAUAAAUACAAAACAGGUAUCCCAAUUCAUAUGCUACUGUCUGGUAUGUCCUGCAGUUUGAAAGGAGGUACUUACUGAUGCAUCAAAACACAGCAAAUCAGAGUACACUAGCACCAAAACUGUGAUCACUUUAUUAAUCACUGCUUGAACAACACAAAUGGCUGAAAUGAUUUCUGAAUGUGUUAUUAGAUACCUGGUAUGGUGUUCGUAAGUAAUGAGGAGAAUUGAUGGAAUUCAGACUCUAUUUCCUAAUUUACCAGUCCUAGGUUAGGUCUCCAGCACUGUUGUCUCCCCACACACUGGAGCCAGAACAAACAAAACAGUGGAGAAACCUGUCAAGUCUGACAAAUAACUUGACAUUUAUAUAAAUUGCUGCAUACUCAUUUGUUGCAUAUUCAUUUCAUGAGAGAAAUUAUUAUAAUCUGAAAAUAAUAUUCUGACUUGGGAACAAUGUAAGGCAUCUGAAAUGCUUAAAGAAUUGACUGGUGACUUCAAGAUAUAUACAUCAUGAUAUUUCUGUUACAGCAGAAAAAAAGAAUGGUAACUUAGAUCCACUCCAUGAAAUUUUCUUUUCCUCUGCUGAACAAUGAACUUAUAUAACACCUUCCUCAUAACAUGUACUUCACAGUAUUUAUAACCAUUUACAAUUUAUUGCUGUUUUUAGAGAUUUUUGAACUUUUCAGGUAGAAAGUACAAGGUUUGUAUAAAGUAUUAUUUUAUACCUAUAGUAUGAAUAUUAAAUUUUCAAACAACUGCUUAAGUUGUAUUUACAAUUUAAAUACAUAAGACUUUACUAUUAAAAGUUUUCUGAAUAGGCUGUGUUAAAAGAAGCACACAGAAAAGAGUUUGUAGUUGAAUGUGAAUACACUGUGCUACAGGAGUAUGGGUGUUCUAAACAGUUGACAUAUACUUGUGCAUUGAAAAAGAUGUAUCCUGUAAGGCACAGUGAGCCAGUGCAGGAAUGUGGCCAGCACUAAUAGGAUGUCGAGGAACUACCUCACAGAAAGGUGAAUGACAUCAAACAUUCAAAUAAUGCAGUAAAAGGCAAACUCAUACAAAGAGUUCAUAUUUAUUAAUAAUAUUCAAUGAAAAUAUAUUUUUUUAAUAAAUCUGCAUUUGGUUAACACUGUUGCUGUAGACUAGAUUUUCUAGCAGCUGUAGGCUGUUUUUGAUGGGGAGGAAGAUUGUUUUGUUGGUGGUAAAUGGUUGUAAAUGACAGUGAAGACCAAGAAUACAGAAUAUAAAAUGAAAAGCAAGAGCUGCCGAUUAAAUGGAGCAAGGUAAAGGUGUCUGGGAGCUAUAAAAAGAAGGAUGAGGUACGACUGAAAAAUAACUAAAUGGAAGAGUAUUCUGUAUAACACAAGAUUAUCAGGCUAUUUGCAAUGUGCUUAUGUGAGAGAAUUUGCAAUGUGUUUAUGUGAGAGACCUUCUGUAUUUCUUUCAUGUCAAGAAUUGUUAGUUCUUAAUCUACCAGGGAUACAGAUAAAUGGCUAAAGAAACAUAUUUUUCUGAAAAGGAUAUAUCUUCAUCAAUUGCUAGCUCAAUGAAUUUAUCUCUUUGA